GCAUUUUGGCAGCACAUAUAUUAAAAUUAGAAUGAUACAGAGAAGAUUAUCAUGGCCCCUGUUUAAAAAAAAAUUAAAAAACACCAAGUGUUU
rnacentral:snRNA from 1 species